CCUACAUUCCACAACAGAGGAGAAGAGAGGUCACUGAGCUGGUAUCCCCACAGCACUCAGCCAUGCAGGGGUCAGCUGGUUCGGUUAGCUUAAAAGAGCAAGCGUCCUUCGGCCUGGCAAGUUAGAUCCACCACUCAAGAACAGUGGGCAACUUUUCACGUGGCGUUUGCAGAAGCAGGCGCCUGCCUAUUCCUGAAGACCUCAGGCUGAACCUCAGGUAGUUCCUUAGUCCCAAUCUGGAAGGAAUUUUUGAGCUAAUUUCCCAUUUUCACAGGGAAGUUUUGUUCCUCUCUCAGCCAAGGCUAACAGCUACUAUCAGAGAGCAGGUAGGGCCUCAGCCUUGGGAAUGUGCCCAGGAGACCUGGGUCUCCUCCCUCUCCACUGCUGCAGGACGUAAGCAAGCUUUCACUACAAUCUCCUGACUUCAGCUCACUGAAUCUUCAAAUGCUUGCCCUAAACAGAGGUUGCUGUUAAACUCCCAGCACCCGCUGAAGACAGUUACAGAGUUACAGCUGCUAGCAGAAGACCAGCACUUCUCGUUUCAUUGCUAUCACGGCAAUGGAAGAACAGAAAACCCUUCAAGGAAGGAUUAGAGUUAACGGGGAAGGAAAUAAGGGGCUCCUCCUCCUCACAUCUACUCAGCACUCCGUCUGCCUCCAAUCAGUUUGGGCCCAGAAAAGCAGAUGGUUAGAGGCAAAGAAGGCAUGGAAUCCACAGGCAUUCACACCAGAGCAGCGUGGGAAGAUCACUCAUGGCUCCAGAGGGCCGAGCCAGAAUGGCACCUGCCAGCUGAGGAGUGGAGCAGGCAGGCACCAGGGGGAUGGGCUGGGAGGUGGACACCAUUUUCUAUCCUCAUGUGUAACAGGGAUUUGAGAACAAAAGCAGACAUGCCAAGGGCAACAGCUGGCUCCCACCGUCCUUCAGAGCUCUCUCCUUGUCUGGAAUGCACACAUUUGAGAUGGAUUCUACUUGCGACCGUCCCAUCCUUCUUAGCAGCAACCCAGGCAGGAAAAGGAAAGGGUUAAGAGCCAUGCAGAGAGGGUGCCGGUGGAGCCCCACCCACAGCCCAUGACCGGAAGUCUAGGAACAUGUGCAGUGUUCAGGACCAGGAGAAAAGUUCAACUCCCUGGCAACCAUACAGAACUGUCUAAAUAGAGGCACGCAAAGACACUAUGACAGGGCAGACAAAAAGUCCUAAUGUUCCUUCGGGAGGCACAAUCAGACUGUCUUCACUCAUAUGAGUCAAGAGUACACUGCACAGGUAAAGACAAUGGAAGAAGGGCUGGGGACAUAGCUCAAGGGUAUAAGCAACUCCCUGGCAAGCUCCAGUUUAACUCCUGGUACCAAAAUAAACAAACAAGCGAACAAAUGUUUUUAUACAACACAGAUGAUACCUGCAACCAUCUGUACAAAUAGUUCUUCAAAUUUAAAAUAGAAAAAAUCACUGCAAAUGAAGAACUACUAUUUAAGUAUCUUUUGAAACACUGUGAAUGGCUCUGUUAUCUGCCACCCUGCUCCAUGUCUGGGCAACAGAUUGUGUUAUUGAGGGCUAUUCUAGAACCUAGUUACCUUUCUUAUUGGUAAAAUCACAACAGUGAUUUUGAGUCUAACUAAUAAUUCAAUCUGCAAGAUCUCUCUCCAGUCCAGUAUGAUGUGUUUGUGUGAAACACAAACAGUCCACAGUGAACUGUCCCUGUUACUUUAAACACAAAGAGAUUUGACAUAUAAAAGUCUUCCCCAAAAUGCUACUUUUCCUUCCGACUUGUUUUUGUUUGUGCUUUUACUAUUAUCCAGUCAGUAAAACUCAAGAUCAUCACCAUCCUGGACACCUUCCUUUCCUUCAUCAACUCAUUUUCAUUACUAAGCCUCAUCAAUCUGUGCUUCCAAGGUCCCCUUCUUCAAUGCUUCUGAUACAAUUUCUCUAGAUUAAUUUUUCUAAAAUAUCCCUUUCACUCUCCAUUCAACAAAGAAACAAGCUGACUUCUUGAAAUUUCCCUAUAACAGCCCACUACAACUACACCUCUGGAACUUCUAAAACACCUUUAGAAGACUCCAUGUCAUUUCCUGUUUAUUAUGGUUCUUCCUUUUUAUAACCAAUUAAAAUACCACCUGUUCCAGGAAGCCUUCUUUGAUUGGCCAAACCAAAUUGAAGUUCUUCCCUUAGGUUCCCAUUAUGCUAACUGAAUACACACCACAAGGUCAUUGGGCCAUUCACUGUACAAGAGUAUGCCAAGUAUCCACUAUACACUUGCCACUCUCCCAGCCUCCAGAGAUGCAGCAGGGAAAAAAACAACCCACAGGCUUUCUUCUCUUAAUGCAUUCACAAAUGAUGAGCACUAUUUAUUAAUGUACUCAUUGCACUGUAUAAUUCAACAACCAGUGCUUCGGUGUCUGUUCUGGUAAAGGCAGAGUCUGGAGUACAGAAACCAUGCUCAGCUCCUUACUGAUCUGCCUUUCUGCCAACAGAUGGACAAUGUAUUAGUCACAAAAAGAGCUCAAGAAAUAUCUGUUAGUCAAGCGAAUUGUUGACUGAAAUCUUUGAAAACAGUAGCAACAUUUUUAAAUGUUUCUAUCUUUCCAUAAAAAUAGCGCACCACAGCCAGAAAUUUAAAUUUCAUAGUAAGUUUUUAAAAAGGAAAGAGAAUUCCAGAACCAUUCAAAUGUCCAUAUGUUAAUGUACAAUGUUCAUCUACUUGGAUAAAUCUGGUUAAUAUGACAAAGUUUCAGAUCCAUCAAACAAAUACUCAUCACCUCCAAUAAUUAAUUAUCUAGCCCACUGAUCAAAAAUAAACCCAUUUGUAGAUGAAGUUUCCAGCUCUAUCCUAGGGUCCAGUCUUUCUUAGGAUUUCUACAAACCAUUCUCAGCUUGUUAAUUUUAGUGCAGGUAAGGAAUGCAAGGGAAGGCUUAUCACAUAGCCCUGCAAGAAUGCAGGCUGUGUCUCCAUGCCAGCAAGAACCUGUUUUUGUGUUCCUAAUUUUAGCAGACUUAAUUCAACUUCAUCAAAAAGAAUUAGUUUCAGAUUAAAACUAUGCUGUAUUUUUCUUCCGCCUUCUACUUACAUGAGGGCAUCUGUUCCUCACAGAAUCUCUAAGACAAAUGCCUGCAUUCAUUUUACCCGACACAUAGUUACCAACAGCACUCAACUGAUAGCUUUUGUUGAUAUUCCAACAAAAGGACAUACAAAAAAAUUCCCAAUGAGUAUCAAACUCUUGAUAAGAAAUAUUCUUUCUUGGGUCCCUCCUGUGAGCUGGCAAAAGCCACGCAAGUCCCGGGAGGAGAAACAAGGAGCCCAUUCACCUUUCUUGUGAGCCAACCCUUCCCCACCCUCCAAGCACCUGGCUGAUUUGGAGGAACACAGGCUGAGUCAUUAGCAACUGAGGUACAAAAACAACUCAAUGCUUGGACUGUUUGGUUGACUUUGUGAGCCUAAGGCCAGUUGUCUGAGCUUCUACUGGGAGGGUAACAAUAUGCAAUACAGCAAAUAUAGGAGAUUUCCUUCUGUCUUUUUUUGAAAUUUAAUAGUGUUCUAUUUCAUUUUGUUGUUUUAUUGUUUUCUUUCAUUCAAUGUUCUGUUUUGAUUGGUUUUAUUCUGUUCUGUUUUGUUUGAUUUUAUUCUGUCUGAUGGUAUGGGCGGCUAUUUUAAAGAUAACAAGAUAUAUUAUGGUAGCCAUUGUUGAUUUCCUAUUAUCCUGUUUUGAAGUCCUGUAUCACUUUCACUGUUUUGUUUUGAUUGGCUUUACUUUAUUUUGUUUAGUUUUAUUGUCUUUAAAAUAAAAAUUUUUAAAACAU